AUGUCGGACACGUGGGGCAGCAUCCAGGCGCACAAGAAGCAGCUGGACUCGCUGCGGGAGAGGCUGCAGCGGCGGAGGAAAGACCCGGCGACACUGUCCUCCGAUGGCGGAAGCAGCACAGAGGGAUCCACAGCCAGGAGUGACAGCCCGGCUCCGACAGCUCCGCUCCCCACUCAGGAGGAGACGGAAAAACCACCAGACCCGGAGCUAGAGAAGAGACUGCUGGGAUAUCUCUCUGAUCUGAGUCUCUCGAUGCCAACGGACUCCCUUGCCAUCACAAAUGAACUCAGCUCUGAAUCAGCUGUCAGUCACGGAAGCAUCCAGAGUCUGCUGCUGAAAUUCUCUGCUCAGGAGCUCAUCGAGGUCCGGCAGCCCACCGCGACCUCUUCCUCUGCUACUUCCUCCCCCUCAAUCGUGGUAGCAGUGGACCACACAAAACUAUGGGCCAUGAUCGGCCCCGGGGCCGGAGCCCAGCGGACCGGAGUCAAGAGAAAAGCAGAAGAUCAAACCCACCACAAAAGAGCUCCGGGCCAGUCGCCCUCACUUCAGAGCUCCGCUUCUCCUCCGCGCACCUCCUUCACCUCUGUGACGCCGGCUUCCUCCUUGCAGCUGGGGGGGCCCUCGGCCUCAGGGAGCGGGGCCGAUAAGAAGGGCAGGAGCAGCAAAAGCCAGUCGUCCCAUAUGGACAUGGAGAUAGAGAGUCUCCUGAACCAACAGUCCACUAAAGAGCAGCAGAGCAAGAAGAUGAGCAGAGAGAUUCUUGAGCUGCUUAACGCCAGCACAGCCAAGGAGCAGUCCAUCGUGUUAAAGUUCCGAUCUCGCGGCCGAGCUCAGGUCCAAGAGUUUUGCGACCACGGGACCAAAGAGGAGUGUGUGCGCUCCGGGGACACGCCGCAGCCGUGCACCAAGUUACACUUCCGUCGCAUCAUCAACAAGCACACGGACGAGAGCCUUGGCGACUGCUCUUUCCUCAACACGUGUUUCCACAUGGACACCUGCAAGUACGUCCACUACGAGAUCGACAGCCUUCCGGAGGCCGAGGGGAGCCUGCUGGGGCCCCAGGGCGGGACCACAGAGCUCGGCCUCUGCGCAGGGGACGCCGACAGCAACGUGGGCAAACUGUUCCCCUCACAGUGGAUCUGCUGCGACAUCCGCUUCCUGGACGUGUCCAUCCUCGGUAAGUUCGCUGUGGUGAUGGCCGACCCUCCGUGGGACAUCCACAUGGAGCUGCCUUAUGGUACGCUGACUGACGACGAGAUGAGAAAGCUCAACAUCCCCAUCCUGCAAGACGACGGCUUCCUCUUCCUCUGGGUCACCGGCAGAGCCAUGGAGCUGGGCAGAGAGUGUCUCAGUCUUUGGGGCUAUGACCGAGCCGAUGAAAUCAUUUGGGUGAAAACCAACCAGCUGCAGAGAAUCAUCCGCACGGGAAGGACCGGCCAUUGGCUGAACCACGGGAAGGAGCACUGUCUGGUGGGCGUAAAGGGAAACCCUCAGGGAUUCAACCGAGGUUUGGACUGCGACGUAAUUGUGGCCGAGGUCCGCUCCACCAGUCACAAACCAGAUGAGAUCUAUGGCAUGAUAGAGAGACUCUCGCCCGGCACCAGGAAGAUCGAGCUUUUCGGUCGACCGCACAACGUCCAGCCCAACUGGGUAACUCUUGGGAACCAGCUUGAUGGCAUUCAUCUCUUGGAUCCUGAUGUCGUGGCUCGAUUUAAGAACCGCUAUCCAGAUGGCGUCAUCUCCAAACCCUGACCCCAAACACAAGCAGUGAUGGCUUAAAUCAUUGGUCACAGGUUUGGAAGAAGUUUGUCAAUAGACUUUUUUUUUUUAUACCAGUGAACUCAUUUCUUAAAUAAAUGUUGUGAACAAGAUACAUUGUCUGUGUCUUGGUUAAGAAAUGUAAAAAGUGUUGUUUCUGUACAUUAGUGUGUAAUCCCCAAAUCUAAUUCUGCAAAACUUCACAUCCACCAUCAACAAAAACACAGGAGACAUUUUUAAUGUACAUUUUUAGUUAUUAUUUUGUUAGUCAAGAAUAAAGAGACUGUGUUGACGUAUUGUAGAUUUGAAUAACUUCGAAGGGUUUUUGCAUCAAAGGGCAAACAUUUUUCGUCAUUUUUGUCAUUCGGGAUCAGAACUUUACAGUCAUGUGUGUUUCAGGCAAAUACAGAAACCUGUUCACCAGUUAAGCUUUGUUAAAAAGUUAAACAUUUUAAUAUCACAUGAAAUCAGGUUUUUUUUUUUCAGUUAUAAAAUAUUAAAGACAAGAAAUUAGCCGGAGUGAGCUGAACAACUUUUGCUUCAAGCUUUCAAAGGAGGAACUAACUAGAGGCAAACACAUCUGCUGUGCUCCCUCCUCUGAUAGUGUACAGGGGUUUCGUAACAGAGUACAUUCCUGGUUAUAAGAAAUGUCAAUAGGUUUCGUAAUAUGUCCCUCGUGAUUAGUGCUGGGUGUCAUUCAAAACAUGACCGUACCAUUAAAGUGAUAACGAUACCAAAAUCCAAAUGAUUUUCAUACAUUUUAAGUGUUCAAAUUAUCAAAAUAUUUAUUAAAAGUAACUGUACAAUGAAGUAUUAUCUGGGCAGUGUGAUUCAGCCUCCUUUGAAGAGUUGUGGUGGCAUCUCAGCACGCUAAACUGCCAACUCAGUGAAACACACCGCGCUCCACCUCACAACAGACUGUGUUGAGUCAAAGAACGCUUGCAGCGAUUGGCUGCGAGCAAAACCAUACAAAGUUAUUUUCUUUCUAGAUCUUCAGCACAAAAAGGAUUUGAUGCGGGUAUCGUUUGACUGGAGAAGUUCCGAUACUACUUGUUAUUGGGUUAUUUCGGUUAUUAGUAUCAAGUACCCAGCCCUACUCAUGAUGGUGGCUAAUGAUGCGGUGUAGCUACAGAUAUUCAUCCACAUACUUCAAAGGUUAACUCCCUCAUCUCGCUUUGUGAAACACUCAGUUAUCUCAACAGUGAAUUAACAAAUCUGCAGGUUUUUCCCACAAAGUUGGCCAACAAAAACAGAAAAAAAAAAAACAAUAAAAAAAGUUAUGCACUUUUUGGUAGUGAAUGCUGUAAACAAGUCUGUCUCUUCUCCAAUCAGUAUUGUGACUGUUUGGGCAGUGGAUCCACGGAAAACCUUAAUGCACAGAAAUUGAAAACCACGUCUGUUUCAGUCUUUUUUCCCCGGUCCCUCGUUGAGUCUGAUUAAUCAUAGAGAGUUCUUUGUGGGCAGCGAACAAUGAGGGGUUUGAUUGCACACUGUGGCUGUGCACACUGCUGUUGAUCCCAUCUAAAGGGGACCACAGAUGCUCUUGCUCGGCCAUCGGGCUCCCGGGGUUGCGCCACAGCGUCCAAGCGCGAAUGGGCGACAGAAAAUCGAAGGUACAGGAAUCCAUUUAUCGUCUCUCCAGACCUCUCACGUCGUCCUCAGUAGGUGGCGUCCACUGCGUUGAUGUUGCUGUCCAGCUGGUGUCUAAACGACAGCCUGGCCUUGGUGGAGAAGUAGAUCUGGGAGCCGCGACUCAGGCCUCCUGCUCCUUCGCUGUCGCUACCACAGGACGUGGUGGAGCACAGGCGGGGCUUCAUCUCCUCAAUGGGAACUGAGAGGUGGAAGAUGGACAGAGAGUCGGGCGUUGUGAGGACAUACUGUCACGACACGGCUGUUUUUAAAUUGGUCUACAAUUGAAUUGAAUGUGUAGCUGCUCCUCACCUGCCGCUGGGGGGCACUGUCUGCUCUUGCAGCGCUCUUUACAGCGUCUGUAGAAAGGAAAACACUGCAGCAUCUUCACACCCAUGGCAGCGAUGUCUGUAGAGAGAGGGGAGUGAACAGAGACUUAAGUUUAAGAGAAGCAGCAUAAAAACAAACAAAUGCGAACAAAAACUUAAAAAUAUGGCAACGCACGAGCUUUUGAACAGAGGUAAACCCAUCCUACAAUGCAAGUGAAAAACAUUCUCAAAUUGGGAGUGAAGAGUCCGGUCCAAAAUGUUUUGCAGGAAGCUCACGUCUCCGAUAGCUUCCAUUCAAGCUGCCUUGAUCACAAGGAGAGCAUGUCUGAGUGCCUGCUGACAGCUCCUCGUCUCAUCACCAGGUCAGUUUAAUUGAAUUAUGAUCCUGCGCUUCAGCGUCAUGAUAUUCGUAACGCAAGCCGACCAAUGUAACGCAACAGCACCGUGACCCAGCAACCACCAAUCAGUCAGUAUUUACCUCGUCAACACCGCCUAAUCCCGGAACAGGACGUCAAUGGGCCAGACGCAUAUUAAGCCUUCUCCUGACAACCAGACGGAUUACAUAGAGGUCAUGUGAUGUGUGCAAGUUAUUGUUUUCAUUUUAAAAGCUUUUGUUUCUGGACUUCUCCCUCCCAGCAGUGUGCCUUCCAGUGAGGGGUUACUAGACCUGGAUCUGGUCUGAAUAUAGACCCAAUCGUUGAUCUGAGGCCGCAGGUAGAACCGAUUCAUUGAGCAACAAAAUCAGUCAAAUUCAGUUUCCCAGAGGAUUGUCCCUCUUAUCUGUGGCACCUCUGAAUGAUGAUAAAGCCAGGGCCACACGCCAGCACUCAGCUGCAUUUACUGAGAGCGAGGGGGGAAAAAAGGUAUUUAUUUUAGUCUUAAUCGGGUUAGGGAAUGGGUCAGGUGAAAUGGAGCGUAGGGAGGUUAUUUAUCUCGAAAGUUUAUAUUGUAACAGUGUUUUAGGUUAAGACUUGUGUAGCUUUAAUGUUUCUGCUGCAAAUGACCUAAACUUUUAUUUAUAACCUUUAGAGGAUCAAAGUAAAUCAUUACAAAAAGACUCAAAUCAAAACAGACAUGCAAAAUGACCACAAAGACUCAAAAUGACCACGGAGAGAUGCAAAACUAUUACAAAAACAUUCAAAACAACGACGUGAUACAAAAUUACAGAAAGGACUUUAAUCAACCACUAAGACACAUUAAAACGACAACAAAGAGAUGCAAAAUGACCACAAAAUUGCAAAAAGACUAAAGGACUAAAAAGAAAUCCAAAACAACCACAUAUGAAGGCAAAAGGUUUACAAAAAGACUUAAAUAAACCAUGAUGAGAUGCGAAACAGCCACAAAGAGGAGCAAAAGUCUUACAAAGAGACUAAUCAACCGGUGAGAGACAUUAAGACGACCAUACAGAGAUGCAGAACGGCCACAAAACGGCUCAAAAUGACCACAAAGAGACUCGGAGUCUGAAAAAAACGCCUAUUUCAGUCUGAUGAGAAAGCGAUAAAGCACUAAGCCUCAUUGUUCAUUGAUCACAGAUAGAAAGAUUUGGAUAUCUGUUGUCAAACAGUAAACUGUGAUUGCAACAUAAAGAACAGUGUUUGCCUGACACACCCCCCACCCCCCACACUGUUUACUGCCGAUUCCUCGUGCUCCUUCACUCAGGGAGGCGGCUUCAUGGAGACGUGACAGCUCACACAUACGCAUACAGUCACAGCUGCUGUGGCUUACAGACAGGCUGCAGAGGAGACUUUUGGUAAAUAAAUGAAAACCUCAUCUCUUAUUUCACAGUCUCUCUUUUGGAUAAAUUCACACAAAAGCUGCUUUAUUUUUUUCUCGUCCAUUUCUUAACCAUCUAAUGCACCUCCCGUCUAAUUUUCUCUCAGGUGUGGCUGUGAAAUCCUAUCCCAUUUUCCAGACACAGUGACUCCAUUAUGCUGAGCUCAAUGUAGAGGUCCUGCCUGUGAAAUGAGACCUCACAGUAUAGCUCACAUUGUGACGGGACGAGAAAAGGGACAGUACUGACCGACAAUGGUUUCCCCUAGUUUAAUCAUUCUAGUUUCCUCCUACAACCAUGCUAUAGAUUCUUUGAGAAUCAACAAUAUAGCAAGCGUGGGAAGCAGUUCCACACACACACACACACACACACACACAAUAUUGAGGCCCUAGUCAGUGGUGAGGAAUUUUGGGCCCAGAUCAUGAUUGGCUGUGGAGGUUUGGCAGCAGCUUAGGAGCCUGGAGGAGAAAAACAACCUCAGAUGGCAAACUCCUGCAUUCACGCCCAAGUACCCACAGAGACACAUUGACCACGGAGAGGAAGGGGAGAAGAGGAAGUAGAAGAAAUAGAAAGGACGUGGGUCAAGAAUGAAGAUCUAAGUGAGAAAGAGAAGUAUGAAGUUGUGCCUCGACCUCUUUCUCUCUUCAUGCGUUUCUCUGGAAGCUCCAGCCUGCGGGCAGUUAAUGUGAGCAACAUGCAUAACCUGAAUAAUGCGAUUUUCAGUUGCUCAAUCAGUGGCGGCUCACUAAUGGAGCUGGAAAUUGCGCAAUCCUUCCAGAAAAACAUUUGCAAGUUCAUAUUUUUGAGUGCAUGUGUGUGUUUGCAGGGAGAGGUAAAAGGCUUGUUUGCUGAGCAUGAUCCCCUGUAUUCAAACAUUUUUAAACUUUUCUCUCUCCAAGCCACCGAACCACACUUAGCUUCUUAUCGGCUUUGUAAACAAUGUUAAAGAAAGCAAAGAAAGCAGCAGAGCACAUAUGCUUACAGUAAUGUGAUAACAAUAUUGCCACUGCUCCACGUUUCCCCCUGAGCGCCCCCUUCUCCAGUCAGUCCUUGGGGUUUUAUAAAAAAUAAAGAAAAAGACGGCCUGCAACACAAAGCCUCACACAGGCCUGCCAGGCUGGAUGACGCACACACUCUGUGCACGUAUACCUGCACAAAUGUGUGUGUCCAUUAAUAGCAGCAUACAAUCCGCUUUCAUUAAUAUUCAUCACAGCCAGAGGAUAAAGCCGCUUUUAAGGUGUUUCUAUAGAGCUUCGAGGAAAUUAUUCAAAUAGUGCUUUAAUAAAAUGUUACGGUACUUGUACUUCCAUUUUAUGCUACUUUAAACUAUUACUUUGUUACACUUCAGGGGCAAAUGUUAUGUUUUUUUACUCUACUACAAUUAUUUGACAGUUCUAGUUCCUUUACUGAUGAAACUGUUGCUGAUGAAACACAUGCUUGAAUUUGUUGUUCUAUAUCAAACUGAGCACAAUAUACAGUAGUUCAAGUUAGCUGCACCCAAUACAUAAUUAACAUGCAGUUUACAGGUUAAUGCAGCAAUAAAAUAAUUAAGUAGUAUAGUACAACACUGUAAAAGGAGAAAGUUUAGAAUGCAAAACUUUUAGGGACUGUAUGAAAGUUGCUGCAGUGGUGAGACGGGCAGAUAAUACUUACUUUGUGAUUAUUGCCACGGUUAUGAAUGAUUUCUUUGAACAUUCCUCUUAAAAUGAUUGGUAUGGCAAGCUCAAUUUAAACCUUAAUAUCUUCAUGGAACUGCUAAUGUGAGCCCAUCGUGCACAUUAAUAAAACCCCGACACAAAGGCUGUAGCCUAUAUUGUUUACGUAAAGUUUGUUUUUGUUGUUGUAAUUAUUUGUUAUUCACUAUAAGGCUAAAGAAGGCUUAAAACAGUAAACACACACCCCAUACUUCCCCCAAAAGUCAAACUAUACCAGUUUUAGUUUCAACAUUUUAAAAAAAUGAUUCCCCCCCCCCCCCUAUUAACUUUGGUACGGUCCCUAACUUGUACUAUAAAAAAAAAAAAAAAAAACUUCCCCCACCACUAGUUGUCAUAUUUAGCUAAUUAACACACCUUCAGAUGCGCGUGCAGGAGGUGGAAGCCUCUGUGCGCGCGCGGUUGGAAAGGUUGAAUGAAAAGCUGCGCCAGACAGGCUAAUCUUAGCUUUCACCCAGCGCACUACACGCACCGCUCUGGCUCCCUCAUCGAUCUAUUAAAAGAUUCCAAACUUGCACUGAGGUUGCUGUCACGCCGUCACAGAGAGUGAAGUGGUCCCUCUGCGGUGUUCCUCUCCUUGUAAGGUGACAAGUGCCCCUCGCCAGUCUGCCAGCAGCCCGAGUAUGAUGAUGAGGCAACACAGUAACUCCCUGUGCGGAGGAGGCUCCGAUAUCAGGAACCGAACCACUCCCAACUGUCCCAUUGGCCUCAAUGCCAUCGUGAUAUCAUCCCGGGGACAAACUGGAUGGCGAGUGGAAAGCGAUAUUGUCGUUAUACUGACAUCAUCCUGUGUGAAUUAUUUUUGGCAAUUUAAUCCCUCGCUGCCAUUGCUCCACUGGAGCCGAGAGACGGGAAUAGCAGCACUGCCGACGUGCAGACAGAAACGGAUCGAACGAGAGACAUGCGAGGGUCAAAGGUAGCCCGACCGUGAUCUAAAAUUAGUCUGAGGUGAAAGACAUCCAUUAAAACGUGUAGUGAAGUCUCACAAAUGGAGAUAUUCACAUAAAGUGCCACAACUUCAAAAAGCAGGAGGGUGAUGAGUCUCAUUCAAAAAGUGCAGCCCAGGGUGCAAAGGUUUUUCUACCUUCAUUUACUGUCACUUUCAUAUUGUUGGCUAUUAAAUAAAGGCAGAUAUGAUCUUCAUAAUCAUUUCACGACCCUUCAGAUUUGCAUGGUGACGCCUUACAGGGUCCAGACUCCCAGGUUGAAAGCCCGCUGGUUUAGAUCAUCAGUGUUACUGAUCUGGACGUUCAUGAUCUUACAUUGCAUUAGAAAGAUUUAUGAGUGCAGUGUGCAGGACUUUAUGAGAUUCUGUGCGCUUACUGCCUUACAUGGCAUGCUAAUUCGAUUUAUUUUCAUCUACAGUAUAUGGUUCAUAUCUUGCUGAAAACAACAUAUGCAGGACAUAUGUUAAGAUGCCUCAAGUCUCUCCAGCCACCCAGUAACUCCUUUGCCCUGAUAUAGUAUUUCAAGAUAAGGUGAUUCAAUUGCAAAGAAACAAAAAUGAAGUCAUUGCAGACUCAAACUAGUGUGCUCCUCCCACAGUGUGAGUGUUUACUUGUCCCCAGCUCCCUGUUUCUUGCUCCCUCCCUCCCCCCUCAGAGGUCCGGACAUUCCCACACCAAUGUUGUUUAUUUUCUGUUGAUGCUGGCAUGCCUCUGUGGAGCCGGGACCACGACUGACUGGCUGAGGUUGGCUCCAGCCUCCAUUUUAUUCUCCUCAGCUCGCUCCUUCUGUACAUCAUGUCACGCUUCUUUACCAUUCCUUGUUUUUCACAUUUAUUGUUCUCUGUGAUUGAAAUAAUCCAGAAGUGCGCGGGCGAAGUGGCCUAAUGGUUGUAUCCUCUACAUAUACCAUGUAGAUCAGCUGGGAAUGCUGAGUGUAGUAAGCAGACGAUCUGAAGUGACACACAGUCUUGUUGGUAAUGUGCGGUCCAGGUGUCAAAUAUCACGUUUCAGUGUUAUAUGAUGAUAUAGUGCCAGUCACACAGACAGGUGCUGUCAGCAUCUUUAAGCAAUUGUUAGCUGAGCAGAACUUCCAGCCAGUUCAACUCAAAUUAUGACCUGACAAAGAAGCUCCAUCUUCAUACUUUCCAGGCUUUUUUUUCGAUAAAAAUUUCAUUUUCAUUUAGUUGAAUAUCAGUGCAGAGUGGUGAGCAAUCAAGUCAUUUUAUUGAUGCAUCACAUGUAAAAGCAACACCGAGAUGCUUUUACGGGGAUGUUUAAGUCAAAUUGAAUAAACGGAAAGUUAAGUAAAAGGUAAAAAUGUAGCUUUUAAUUCAAAUUGAUUGAUUUCGGACAGAGGGGUAAAUAAGCUUACAAACCUGCUGAAUGUGCCUGACUGUACUUUGUGGCUGUGCUUAGGUCAUUCGUACUGUGGCUGGAUAAUUAUUGGGUGGUGGACUCUGCUGAGUUAUCACUUACGUACAUGUGUGAGUCUUGCCAGCAUGACUGUUGCUUUUAAAUGAGGUUGUUGUUGUGCUGAGGAGAGUUCCACAGAUGUGAAAAGACAUUGUAGAGUUGUGUGUUCAAUAAUGUUGUUUUCGUAUUUCACAGACUGAUUUGUGCUGUUUUCCUGCUCUGUCCCAAUUCGUCUCUCGCUAGUCCGGCCCAUACCGGCCAGUUCUGCUUCAUGGCCCCCUGUUUUUUUCCCCAUCUGUCUCCUCUUUUGUUUUGUCAGUCAAGCCUGAAAAACAGAGAGGAGGGGCUCAAUUUUGGGUACAUUUCUAAAUAAUGGCCUCACCACAGGGUCCUAACAAGUGCACAAGGCGGAAUUUAGCGCUUGAAUAACCGUCUUUUUUGUUGUUAUUCCCUCUUGAGGAGCCUCUCUCUGUUUCUCAAGUCUCCCUCAGUUCAUGCAUGGACUUUCAUCAGUAUUUGUCCACUGUGUCAUCAAACAGCACUUUCUUUUCCUCUCUGGAUUCUUCGAGUGGCCACGGUUUGCAUGAGAAGUGGCUGAGAACGGGGCCCCCCUUCCCGUUUUCCUCCCUUUGUCCCGCCAUUCUUUUAUACCAAAUUCUUCUCACUUAUGCUCCUUCCUCGCUUUGUGCUGUGCAUUAUAUAAGAGAGCUGCUCACCACCAGCCAAUCAGUCAGCUAACAUGGUCUCAUUGUUGGGCAUAGCCCUUAUUUCCACUGCUACACAAC